GGAGGACUUACUCUGAGUUAUGAUACUCUACAGGAAGAAAUAAGGUUUGUGAUCAACCCAGAACUUAUCGCCGGCAUGAUCUUUUUGCCUCGUAUGGAUGCAAAUGAAGCAAUUGAAAUUGUGGGCGUUGAAAGAUUUUCGUGCUAUACUGGGUAUGGACCUUCGUUCCAAUAUGCUGGCGAUUACAC